rnacentral:rRNA from 1 species
CCUACGGGAGGCAGCAGUGGGGAAUUUUGGACAAUGGGCGCAAGCCUGAUCCAGCCAUGCCGCGUGCAGGAUGAAGGCCUUCGGGUUGUAAACUGCUUUUGUACGGAACGAAAAGACUCUGGUUAAUACCUGGGGUCCAUGACGGUACCGUAAGAAUAAGCACCGGCUAACUACGUGCCAGCAGCCGCGGUAAUACGUAGGGUGCGAGCGUUAAUCGGAAUUACUGGGCGUAAAGCGUGCGCAGGCGGUUAUGUAAGACAGAUGUGAAAUCCCCGGGCUCAACCUGGGAACUGCAUUUGUGACUGCAUAGCUAGAGUACGGCAGAGGGGGAUGGAAUUCCGCGUGUAGCAGUGAAAUGCGUAGAUAUGCGGAGGAACACCGAUGGCGAAGGCAAUCCCCUGGGCCUGUACUGACGCUCAUGCACGAAAGCGUGGGGAGCAAACAGGAUUAGAUACCCUGGUAGUCCACGCCCUAAACGAUGUCAACUGGUUGUUGGGUCUUCACUGACUCAGUAACGAAGCUAACGCGUGAAGUUGACCGCCUGGGGAGUACGGCCGCAAGGUUGAAACUCAAAUGAAUUGACGG